AUGUACAAGAAAAAGAGAAAGUGUCCUGACCAAUCAGAGGAGGAGGGCCGUGAAGUUCACUUUGCUGAUUCAGAAAAACAGGAAGCAGCAGGGGGGAAGGCCACGCCCCCCAGACGUCAUCCUCGACUCAGAGAGGGAGGCCGGAGCGGUGCAAAGCAUGAUGGUCCUGAAUUGGAGGUGAGAGAGGACGGUUGGGUUCAGACGGUAACUCCGCAAAAGUCAAAACUCACAAAACCAGAAACGCGUACAAAACCAAAGAGUCCCUUAAAGUGGAGGGGGGAGAAUCUGAUGAAAAGUCCAUGUGAUUCUGAGGAGAGUUUCCUCAAGUGGAGCCAAGACUCACACAAAAACAGACUAAAACCUGAGCCCAGAUCCACCUCUGGUACCAGACGGGACGUAAACGUGACAAAAACAGGGGACGAUGUUGAAGGACACAGUGUUAAACACAGCAGAGAAACCCGACGGUUGUCUCCUCGCAACCCUGAGUUCAAGCCUCGGCUUCAGCCACUAGAGGGCGCCAGUAAAGGGACUACGACCAGACAGAAGGACAGAAGACGAGCAGAGAACACCCACAGAGGGCCCUGGAGGACAUAAAACACAGGACUGUGGACACUACAUCUGAGAAAUGUCUGGUUUUUAUUCAACUGCUGUCGUGUAUUGUGAGUUUGUUAUUGUUAUAGAUAAAAAUGCACCACGUUAAUGUUUUUAUGCAGCUGUUCCGAAACACAUUCCUGAAUAUUUACUAAAACUAGAGCUGAGGAUGUACUUGUUUGGUGGAUUUGUCGUAUGACUCUUUUGUAUUACUGAAUAUUCUGUAAAUACUCCACUAGUUACAUCAAAAUUUUAUUUUUCUUUCUUGUAUUUUCGCAUCUGAAGUUGAAGGACAGAUACAUUUCCUCAUGUAUUCUGUUUAUAUUUUCUAUAAGUGAAUUAAUCGUCAUUUCACCUGAAUAAUUGUGCAAAAAGAGGUCAACAGUUCUGUUUUUUAUCAAGACCGAUAAUAAAAAUACACGAUAAAGCAAUAAUGUGUAAUAUUUCUGCAUUGAAGAUGUUCAGCUGCUGUACAUUUAUUGUUUUAUUAUGUUUUAUUAUAUCUGUUUCAACAAGAACUCCCAUGAUCCCACACUACAACAUGACAUCAUUGAAUAAUUUCUUUUUUUAUUGUUUUGAUUGAGAGACCCCUAGUGGCAGAAAUUAGAGUGUUUAAUUAUUUUCCUUCUUAAGGAAAUCUAAUCAUAUUUUGGGACUUGCAUAGAAGGUGUGAAUGCUCCUUUGUAGCUUUAAUACAUUAAUUAUAUCAAAUUUUAUUCUGAAAUGACUGUGACUUUGUGUUGCAUGUAUUUUAUAGUGUAUUUCUGAACAAGCAGUACAUGGUUAUUGAUGCAGCUGAAGGUGAAAUAUAAAACAGACAUUAAAGGUUCAAUAUAACAAACUUUAUUGAUGCAGUUACUGGGAAAAAACAGAAGGAAGCUUCACCUGGAACAAUAAAACAGUGGAUUAUAGAGGAUUCUAAGAAAUAUAAGUGAUAUUUAAUGUAAUGAUUUGCUUGACAACAGUGUAGAUAAAGAGGAUACAAACAAACAUUACAACAGGCAGCUUUGGUGGUGGUAGCGUCUGUUUUCCUCUAAUUAAAACAUCUUCAUUUUCUUAUCUUUAACAAUAGAAAAUAGUUUAUCUUGUCAUUGAUGCCAUUUCACUUUCAACAACCAAUAAAAACCAAGACAAGACGAACUGAUACCGAACGUCAGCGAUAAUUGAGUGACUAAACCGGUAACUCAUCAUUCCAGGAACUGUAGAAACAUCUACUGUACUAUGUUUGGUGUUGGUCAAAAUUAAAGGUAUAUGCUAUGGCAGAAUUAUUACAUUGUAAUGAAAUUGUUCUCUACAUGUAAUGGUAGUGUUUAAUCAUUAAGUUAUUAAAGAUGAACAAUUAGCAUAAUGUUUAAGAACAAACUCUGGUUUUUAAGCCCUUACGUUUCCCAAUAACAAACAUUGCAAUAGAACUCCACAGGUACCAGUGGAAGCAUUAGAUAGACUUUAGUAGAAACAAUGUAAGUUUGAGACCUCCUCCCAUUAAAACUGCUCCAAACUGGGUUAAUUUUAGAGACAUGGGUGUAGAAAAUUCAGCCGAACGCCUAAAAAGGAGGUCUUAGCUUAACGGUAUAAAAGGGAGAUACAAAGUAUUGUCAGUCAGUUGGUUCUCCAGAACUAUUCAAGUGUUUGUUCAAUAAACACUUCUGGAUGGAACUUCUCCAGAUUUUGUCUGUAGUGUGGUCAGAGUUAGAAAAACUGUUAAUCAUCAUCAGAGGACCUGAAAACCACCUGAACCUGCAGUUAUAACAGUUCAUCUAAACCUGACCAAGCAGUCUACAGGUUCUGUGGAUGGAUGGAUGGAUGGUUGGUUGGAUGGAUGGAUGGAUGGAUGGAUGGUUGGUUGGUUGGAUGGAUGGAUGGAUGGUUGGUUGGUUGGUUGGAUGGUUGGUUGGAUGGAUGGAUGCAGUUACACUAAUUGCUGUGAUUAUUCCCACAUAACUCCCUGGAGGACCUGGCUAAUUCCUGGAACACUGAAGGACUGAGUGACUGGAAUGAGACUGUGACAGAAACACCUUGAACAGAUCGUGGAAGCUUCCAAAAGGC
ensembl:lncRNA